AUUGAACGCUGGCGGCAUGCCUUACACAUGCAAGUCGAACGGUAACAGGUCUUCGGAUGCUGACGAGUGGCGAACGGGUGAGUAAUACAUCGGAACGUGCCCGAGAGUGGGGGAUAACGAGGCGAAAGCUUUGCUAAUACCGCAUACGAUCUCAGGAUGAAAGCAGGGGACCGCAAGGCCUUGCGCUCACGGAGCGGCCGAUGGCAGAUUAGGUAGUUGGUGGGAUAAAAGCUUACCAAGCCGACGAUCUGUAGCUGGUCUGAGAGGACGACCAGCCACACUGGGACUGAGACACGGCCCAGACUCCUACGGGAGGCAGCAGUGGGGAAUUUUGGACAAUGGGCGCAAGCCUGAUCCAGCCAUGCCGCGUGCAGGAUGAAGGCCUUCGGGUUGCAAACUGCUUUUGUACGGAGCGAAAAGACUCUGGUUAAUACCUGGGGUCCAUGACGGUACCGUAAGAAUAAGCACCGGCUAACUACGUGCCAGCCGCCGCAGUAAAAC
rnacentral:rRNA from 1 species